ensembl:lncRNA
UGAGUGUUUCUUUACCCAAAAACAUUCAAAUGGCAUUACCCUGGCAACAUUUCACAGUAAUUAGUACUGCAACUGAAUCAACCAAUACUCCGACCCAUCCUCCAAGAUGGAAUAUAUCCAAACCUAAUUGGAUAAUAUUAUUCACCUGAAUGAAUAUCACCCGCUGAGUCCACACUAAUUGAAUAAUGAGAAAAAACACCGAGAAUCGUUUGCUUUGUCUCUUCAGUACCAAAUCUUGUAAUGUACUCCUAGUCGUUAAUCACAGCUCUCCUAAACUGUAGUUGUCCUGCUUGUAACCUUUCAGUAGCCUAUUGGUACCUGCUGGCCACCUGUUCCUCACGUUGCUGCCCUUGAGACAGUUUGACGUCAGCUCCCCCAAGCAGCGGCAGAUCUCACCCAGGGGGGUGACUUGCGCUCUCCUCCUCAGUCUCCCACUUCCCCCUCCUCAAUACCUAGGUUUCAGUAUUGUUUCUGUUUCCCUGAAACUAGGCCAUAUCCUUGUAAUGGUACAAUUUUUGUUGUUGUCUAGCAUUCCGUGUAAGUCAUCAUCAUGUUUAUGGUGUGAUGGCGGCAAUUAGCAACUCUCACGUUCUGAAUUGUUCCUCUUUCUCUCCCACUCUGGUUCUCUGUCGCUCCUCUAUUUUCUCCCCUGCUGUGUUAGCUGGGUUAAUCAGUUCAGUCAGGGAUCAGCCUCUUGGGCCUGAGCUCAAUUUGUCCAACAUCUCACCAGGUUAAUUUCAGGAAUGUGUUUGGUCAGUUGUUCUGUGAUAUAUAACAUAGAUACAUUAGAAAUGUACCACACCAACCAAUAAUAGUGUCUUUAGAUCUGGAGGACAUCAACAGAAUUUGGAGAGUUCCUUGAAAUCUUUUCUCAGCAGCACAGACCUGAGUUCUGCAUUCCACGAGAACAGCGACUGUUCAGCCCUUAUUUUAGACAUCCAGAAGUAAAAAGCUGUUGAGAAUCUUUGUGUGUCCAUGAGAGAUUACCGCACCCUAAAACUGCCUGGAAGUGUGUUUCAUGGCCAAGCACCCAGAGACCAAGUUUGAUUUCCUUUUGUCCACGCAACAUAUCUACACCAUAAUAAACUCUGUGUCUGCGUUGAGUAAACAAGCUGAAGGCUACACACAUUUUUGUCAGGAUGUGUCAAACUAAGUACAACCUUAUCCUGUCGUUUUAGUGAAGGCCUUCCAUAUUUCCCUUUCAUACAAAAAGAAGGGCAAACGUAUAUCUUUUUUAAUAAUCCUUGCACUAAAUCAGAACAGUAGAUUGCUUAAAACAUGUCCGUCCAUAAUAAUUAACAUAGCCUUGUCAUCGUUCUGCAGCCUGAAAGUUGUCUCCAUUGGGUGCUGUGUUCUAGCCCUCUACUAUGUUUCUUUGCUUUCCACCCUCCAGGUGAAGGUGUGCUUUGAUGACGCCCAGCUGGAGCAAAUGUGCGAGUACCCAUCAGAGAGCUCCCUGCUGGCUUCGACCCCCUCUCUGCCGAGUCAAGAGAAAGCAAAGGAGAACGAGGUGCAGGAGGAAGAUGAGGAGGAGAGAGGAGCAUUUGUGUCUAGGAGCAGGAAUGUAGGGACGGCAGCUGGCCUCCGAGUGCUGAGAGUAGAUGAGUCUUGCCAUCGGUAGACGUCAGCUGGCCAAAUUGCCCAAAUAAAGUGAUUCAAGAUUUUAUUUGAACUAGUAAUAUGAUCAUACUUUUAUUGUAUUUGUCUGGGUGAAAACGAUUGAUUAAAUGUUUGUAUUAUUUUUGGAUGUACAGUGUUUUACUUUACAUAGGAUCAGGGGUUAUCAGUUUGUAUGAAAAAAAGAUUUCAUGCCAUUUCUAAUAUGAUUUGUGGUGUUGGAGCUUGUAUUGGAGCAAGACUGGCACAAAAUGUCAGCUUAUCAAACAGUAAAGUGCAUAGGACACGGGGAAACAUGUUGCAUAGUAUAGCCUAUAGGUUUGAAUGUUCUGAAUUCAAGUGAAGUAUGUGUACCAUCAGGCAGGUACUGUUGGGUGAUGAUCACGUGUCUAUGCAAGUUAGUUGAAGAAAAGAGAACAGCAACGGUUUAGUUUCAUGUAGCUUAGUUCAAUAACAUAAAGGCACCUAUUGUAUAUGAAGUCUUUAUCUGCACUAUAAGAACAGUAUUGUUCCCUAUUCACUGCACUAAUUUUGUCAGAGCCCUAUGCAAAAGGGAAUAGUUUGUCAUUUCAGACUAAACCUAAUGAUGUUUAUAUCAUCGGGUCCAUGUGCCUGCUGGAUUUGCUCAUACACAUGAUAUAAAGAUCAGGUAAGUCUAGGAUUAAUUUUGAGCCUUGUUAACAACACCCAUAUGUAGUUUCUGGCGAUCUUUGGCGAGUUGAUAAGACAACAUUAUGACCAUUCCAUUUUGUUCAACGACUGUUUCUGUUAGAACUACAAAAUGGGUUUAAGCCUGCCUUAAUGCAAACUAGUGAAAACCCUGGCGACAUGCAAUGAUCAGUGAUCACCUAUAUAUGUUUUUAGUUAUGUAUUAAUCUGUAUUAUUAUGGAUGCAUGUUUCUGAAUGGAAAUUGUAUUAUUUCUCUUCUGGUAGUAUAUGAGAAUACAAAGCACAUUCAAAAUAAUGGGAUGUUAACAUACCAUCUCAUGGAGCCAUGAUAUCUCAACUUUGGGUGCACUUUUUAUAUGAGAAUCUAUAUGAAGAAUCUAGGCUAUGCUUCCACAUGGGCAAUUGUAGUAGUUUAUUCUUGCUGUUUUAUAUUGUGGUUGAAGAAGCUGGCUUCGUGUGUGGAGAAAAAUAACCGAAU